UACGUAGGGUGCAGGCGUUAAUCGGAAUUACUGGGCGUAAAGCGUGCGCAGGCGGCUUUUCAAGUCAGGUGUGAAAUCCCCGGGCUUAACCUGGGAAUGGCGCUUGAAACUGGAAGGCUUGAGUGUGGCAGAGGGGGGUGGAAUUCCACGUGUAGCAGUGAAACGCGUAGAGAUGUGGAGGAACACCGAUGGCGAAGGCAGCCCCCUGGGCUGACACUGACGCUCAGGCACGAAAGCGUGGGGAGCAAACAGG
rnacentral:rRNA from 1 species